rnacentral:rRNA from 1 species
AGUGAACGCUGGCGGCAGGCCUAACACAUGCAAGUCGAACGGCAGCACAGUAAGAGCUCGCUUUUACGGGUGGCGAGUGGCGGACGGGUGACGAAUACAUCGGAACCCACUUUUUCGUGGGGGAUAACGGAGGGAAACUUACGCUAACACCGCAUACGACCUACGGGUGAAAGCAGGGGAUCUUCGAACCUUGCGCGAGUGAAUGAGCCGAUGGCGGAUUAGCUAGUUGGCGGGGUAAAGGCCCACCAAGGCGACGAUCCGUAGCUGGUCUGAGAGGAUGAUCAGCCACACUGGAACUGGGACACGGUCCAGACUCCUACGGGAGGCAGCAGUAGGGAAUAUUAGACAAUGGGGGCAAGCCUGAUCCAGCAAUGCCGCGUGAGUGAUGAAGGCCUUCGGGUUGUAAAGCCCUUUUGUUUGGGAAGAAAAACAGCAGGUUAAUACAUCGCUGUUCUGACGGUACCUAAAGAAUAAGCACCGGCUAACUUCGUG